rnacentral:tRNA from 2 species
GUAGUUGUGGCCGAGUGGUUAAGGCGAUGGACUCGAAAUCCAUUGGGGUCUCCCCGCGCAGGUUCGAGUUGUGCUGACUAUG